rnacentral:rRNA from 1 species
GUCCACGCCGUAAACGAUGGGCACUAGGCGCUGGUGGGAGCGACCCCUUCAGUGCCGUAGCUAACGCGAUAAGUGCCCCGCCUGGGGAGUACGGCCGCAAGGCUGAAACUCAAAGGAAUUGACGGGGCCCGCACAAGCGGUGGAGCAUGUGGUUUAAUUCGAAGCAACGCGAAGAACCUUACCUGGGUUUGACAUGCACGGGAAACCCUCUUGAAAGAGGGGGCCUCCUUCGGGACCCGUGGACAGGUGCUGCAUGGCUGUCGU